UACGUAGGGGGCAAGCGUUGUCCGGAUUUAUUGGGCGUAAAGAGCGUGUAGGCGGCCAGACAGGUCCGUUGUGAAAACUCGAGGCUCAACCUCGAGACGCCGGUGGAAACCGUUUGGCUAGAGUCCGGAAGAGGAGAGUGGAAUUCCUGGUGUAGCGGUGAAAUGCGCAGAUAUCAGGAAGAACACCCGUGGCUAAGGCGGCUCUCUAGUACGGUACUGACGCUGAGACGCGAAAGCGUGGGGAGCGAACAGG
rnacentral:rRNA from 1 species